GUUUCUGAUAUUUCAUUACUACAAAUUAUUCUACAAUAUACAACUUUAUUUAUAUCCUUAUGAAAUGUGCAGGACAUUUUCUAGGAUGUACGCUUAUGAGUAGAACUGCUGAGUCACAGGUAGGAGCAUCUUCAGUUUCGUGCUAGACUGUCAGGAUUAUAAAUUGGUCCUUAGUCUGUACUCUUUUCCCAGUAUAAAAGAGUUUUUAUUUAUUCACAUUGUAAACUACAUUUGGAAAGGUCAAACUUUAAAUUUUUUUUCUACUCUUGUUGGUGUAAAAUAAUACAGCAUUUUAAACUUUUUAUUUUCUUGGUUAUGAGAUGAGGCAUAAUUUUAAUUUUUUUAAACAUUCAAGCUUGCUCUUCUCUGAAUUGCUUUCCAUGUAGAUGGUACACUUGUUUACUAAGUUGGUUAUUCAUUUUUUCUUGUUCACUUUAAUAAAUUCUUUUUACCAUUAUAGCUACCUAUUUUUAGUUACAUAAGUUAAAAAAAUUAUAUCUUUAGGUUUUAUGUGUCUAAUUGAUCUGUUUCCUUCAUGACUUUUUUAUGUUGUCUAAGAAAUUAUUUGCUUCCACAUUGUAAGGAAAAUAGUCAGUUACAUAUUCCUCUAAAAAUUUUAAACUUUUACUUUUCAGUCUGUGGUCUUGGAUCCAACAGGAUUAUUUUGGAGGGUACAGUUCAUGAUAGAGAAUCUCAUUGCAUUCUUACCAUAUGUAGAGCCAGUUGACCCAGCACCAAUUACUGCAGUGCUCACCUUUUCAUGAUUAAUUUGUACUGUUGCCUCUAUCACACAUUGUGUUUCCCUGUGGCUGUAGGUCUCUUUUUAGAUUCUUUUUAUUGACUCCUGUCCCAAUUAAAUAUUGUUCAAUACUGUGGCUUUAAAUGUGGUAGGUAAUGAGCCAAGCCUUUCUUCUCUGUUUUUCUGCUUUUCAAAUUCAACUUAGAAUAUAAAGAAAUACCUGAGGCUGGGUAAGUUAUAAAUAUUAUAAAAGAGGUUUCUUUGGCUCUUGGUUCAGCAGGAUGUACAAGGAACAUGCCACCAACAUCAGCUUCAGGUGAAGGCCUCAGAGAGCUUCCAGUCGUGGUGGAAGGGGAAUGGGAACUAGCAUGUCACAUGGCAGAGGAAGGAAAAGAGAGAGAAGGAGCUGCCAGGCUCUUUGAACAAUCAGACCUCAGGGUAACUAAUAGAGCGAGAGCUGAUUCAUUACCUCCAGGAAGGCACCAAGUCUUUAUGAGGGAUCCACCCCCUUGCCCCAAUACCUCCCACCACACCUCACCUCCAUCAUAGGGGAUCAAAUUUCAACAUGAGACUUGGAGGAGACAAAUAUCCAAACUGUAUCAGUUGGGGUCGUAUCAGUUUCCCAUUCUGCUGGUAUCUACAACUCAUUACCUCCAGGCAAGCUCUCUUCGCUAAAAAUAAUGAAAAGGAUUGCAUAUUACUUGACAAAGUGAAAAGAGAGGAUAAUCCAAGUGGGCAGAUUGGUAAGCUGCGGGAUGAAAAACUGCCACCAACUAAUGGCCUGAAUUUGUACUGACUGUUUGGUCUAGGUAUUGCGAUGAUCCUAUCCAGCUGAUUCAAAAAGAUGCAUGGUGAGUAGCCUUGAUAACUAAUGCUCAGUCAAUGCAAUUGUAACUAAACUUCUGUUUUUAUCCAGAAUUGUUUUGUUGCUCUAAUUCACAUGCACUGUUUUACUUAGGGGAUGCUAACAUGCCAUAAUGGGUUUUCGGCAAUAUCCAUUAGCUUUGAGAGGGGCAAAUAAUGAAUAGGUAGACCACUUACCAUUUUGCAAAGGCUCAACAUAUAAAUUUUUAGACAUAUUUAAGCAGAACAG
rnacentral:lncRNA from 10 species